rnacentral:rRNA from 1 species
ACGGAAGGCAGCAGUGGGGAGUAUUGCACAAUGGGCGCAAGCCUGAUGCAGCGAUGCCGCGUGAGGGAAGAAGGUUUUCGGAUUGUAAACCUCUGUCAACAGGGACGAAAAUGACGGUACCUGUGAAGGAAGCUCCGGCUAACUACGUGCCAGCAGCCGCGGUAAUACGUAGGGAGCAAGCGUUAUCCGGAAUUACUGGGCGUAAAGGGAGUGUAGGCGGGACUGUAAGUCAGAUGUGAAAUAUGCCGGCUCAACUGGCAGACUGCAUUUGAAACUGCGGUUCUUGAGUGAAGUAGAGGUAAGCGGAAUUCCUAGUGUAGCGGUGAAAUGCGUAGAUAUUAGGAGGAACAUCAGUGGCGAAGGCGGCUUACUGGGCUUUAACUGACGCUGAGGCUCGAAAGCGUGGGGAGCAAACAGGAUUAGAUACCCUGGUA